rnacentral:rRNA from 1 species
UACGAAGGGGGCUAGCGUUGCUCGGAAUUACUGGGCGUAAAGCGCACGUAGGCGGCUUUCUAAGUCGGGGGUGAAAUCCUGGAGCUCAACUCCAGAACUGCCUUCGAUACUGGAAAGCUCGAGUCCGGGAGAGGUGAGUGGAACUGCGAGUGUAGAGGUGAAAUUCGUAGAUAUCAGGAAGAACACCUAUGGCGAAAGCAGCUCUCUGGGACGGUACUGACGCUGAGACGCGAAAGCGUGGGGAGCGAACAGG